AAUAUGGCAAUGACGGGAAGAGUAGCGGCGGGGUUUUGUCCAGAGAGCCGGGGUCAGGUGGAAGCCCGGUCAAAGACCUGGCGCGAACGGCGUCCCGGAGCGGUAAGAGGAAAACCGGGCGUUAGUCCGGUGAGUAAAGCUUACAGGUAUUUCUAAAAGUGGGCCGGUGUUUUCCGGCCAAUCAGGGUGGAACCGCGGGAAAACCUCUCGUCCCUGUG
rnacentral:ncRNA from 1 species